rnacentral:lncRNA from 10 species
GUUCUGGGGUCGCCCCCACGGCGGCGCGGCGGAGCUCAGCCUCGAUCUCGCGAAACCGAGCGAGACUACGGAAGGCCGAAGGAUUGGGCUCAGCAUUGCUUGGGCUAAAGGCUGACUAGGGCUUCCAGGAAGUGAUGUGCUUCUAAGUGCCAGUGCCAGGAGUCUUGCUCUGUUGCCCAGGCUUGAGUGCAGUGGCACGAUCUUGGCUCACUGCAACCUCCACCUCCCGAGUUCAAGCGAUUCUCCUGCCUCACCCUCCUGAGUAGCUGGGACUACAGGCCUGCGCCACCACACCUGGCUAACUUCUGAAUAUCAAGCUGAAAUUACUAUCAGAUAUCUUGCCACCACAUAGAGGCUUUGAGUGAAGUCUGCAUGGAGGAGAACAGAGCUGAGAGAUGGAAAGAUACUGAAUCCCAGUGACGUCCUUUGAGAUGUCGGAUCAAGCUGAGCUGGGCAUGAAGAUAGAGCUACUCCUAUACUUUUAAGAUACCAAUAACAAGCAAGAUUCAGAAGUCCAACAAGUAAGACAUUGAUUUCAUUAAGAGAGAACUAGUAAGCAAGCUAUUUGGGAAGUACACUCUCAUAAGAAUAUUGUUUCAUGAAGUCUUGAGCAACAAAGGAAAUAGUCCAUGAAGUGCACUGCUGUCAGACUCCCUCUAAGAAUACUUCAACUGCUCAUGAAGCGGGGGGCCUUAACUAUUUACUUCUUUUGGAAGCCUCCAUCUGGCCCAUCUAUCUUUAUUCUCCCAGGAUCACAGGCAGAACACCUGAGCCACAGUAUCAGAACUAGGGUUGGAAGCCUGCUUUUCCUGGAAUGAAACCCCUCACUCUUCAAGUGUCCAGGAGACAAGAGAAACAAGCUGCCAUAUUGAAACAAGCUGCCAUAUUAUGUGUGAGCUGCCCUAAGGAAAGACACACAUGGUAAGGAAGAGAGGAUGACCUCUGGCUGAUAGGCAGCAAGAAACUAAGGACCUCAGUCUGAGAACCUGCAAGGAGCUGAAUUCUUCCAAUUACCAUGUGAGCUUGGAAGCAGCUCCUUCCCCAGUCAAGCCUCAGAUGAGACCCCAGCCCUGGCCAACACCUUGAUUGCAGCCUCUUAUGAAGAUUGUAGUCCCUAAGCAGAAAAUCCAGAUAACCUGUGCCCAGAUUGCUGAGCCACAGAAAUUCACUGAGAUAAUAAACGUGUGUUUCAAG